rnacentral:rRNA from 1 species
CCUACGGGAGGCAGCAGUGGGGAAUAUUGCACAAUGGGGGAAACCCUGAUGCAGCGACGCCGCGUGAGUGAAGAAGUAAUUCGUUAUGUAAAGCUCUAUCAGCAGGGAAGAAAAUGACGGUACCUGAGUAAGAAGCACCGGCUAACUACGUGCCAGCAGCCGCGGUACUACGUAGGGGGCAAGCGUUAUCCGGAUUUACUGGGUGUAAAGGGAGCGUAGACGGCAGUGCAAGUCUGGAGUGAAAGGCGGGGGCUCAACCCCCAGACUGCUCUGGAAACUGUACGGCUGGAGUGCAGGAGAGGUAAGUGGAAUUCCUAGUGGAGCGGUGAAAUGCGUAGAUAUUAGGAGGAACACCAGUGGCGAAGGCGGCUUACUGGACUGUAACUGACGUUGAGGCUCGAAAGCGUGGGGAGCAAACAGGAUUAGAUACCCCUGUAGUC